CCGGAGGAGAGGGGUCGGGGGGCGGCGGGCGCGGGAGCGAGCGGUGCCCGCGGGAGUACCGCGCUCAGCUUGUAGGGUGGUUUCAUCUGCACCAUCUGUGGGCCAUAUUGCACAUCAGAUGGCAGGAUAAAAUCUGCAAAGAAAACGUUUUGGGACAUAAAAGUCUUUCAGGGUUUGAAGCCAUGAUAUUCACAACACAAAUGUGCAGAGCCACUCGUGUAUCUGAAACAGAAGAAGCAGAAUGCCAAAGCAGCUGCUGGAGUGAAAUAAAGGAGAGACCACACAGUUGGAGGAACAUGAUGACAUCAAGAACAAAAGAACAUUUGAGGGAAAAAGAAAGCACAACUUCAAGCAGUGAGAAAUUGAAGUCAAUCAUUCAGAAUUAUUGACAGCAGAUAUGCACUCACACAGCAAUUAGAGACUCACUUUGGGAAUCAAGGUCAAUUAAUACUGAGGUAAAGAGACAGCAUCAAAAAAAAAAGCACCUUGUCUAACAAACAGCAUUUUCUGAUUGCUAACAAGGCAACCUAGAAGAAAAUUGUCUAUCACAGGUUGGGGUUUGGUCAUUUCCAUACUCACAAGGCAAGAUCACCUUUACUAUGUUGUAAAGGACUACUGUAUUAAGAACAAUGUGUGAUACUACACUUUGUGCAAAGAUUGAUGGGCCACUGCCCAGUGGAAUGGCAGAAGUUGAUAGGUAUCAUUCCGACCUGAGCCUUCAUUGUUUAUCGCAUUUCACUCUGCACAUGAGUGAAAGUCUCUUCACUUUCUCCAUAUUCGCUGGGUUUGAGAGCAAUAGGAAUAAGGUCCUUUAUGAUAUAGUGCUCUGGAAGUCCAUUUCCCUCUUCCAAGCCAUAAAGGCAAACUUCCAACAGAUUUCAACCUUUUUUCUCAAUCCUACAAGCAAAGGUUUUAAGUUCAUCUUAGAUCAUUCUCUGAAUUGCAGCUUGUGUUGAUUGUUGUCAUGCCUGUUACAUUUAAAUAUUCACUGAUAAUCUGAUAUAUCCAGCCUCAGGAAUUAGGUUUCAAAAAACACAAAUAAAUAAACAAAUAGUCACACAAGAGAA